GAGUCAUUGGUUCAAAUCCAAUAGUAGGUA
rnacentral:tRNA from 1 species